GGGAUCCCGUGUCCGACACCUGGCACCAUCUCGCCGGUCUAAUAAUGGGGCAGCUGUGGGGUCUCACCAUGGUGACGCUGGGGCUCCAUUCCAUGCCGUGGGGGCAGCUUGUGGGGCAGCAGCAGGAAGGAGCUGAGGUAUGAGUUGGCGAGUACGGGCACCGGGGGGAGGCCGGAGGAGAAGAAAUCUGAACCUGGGACGGGAACUGCAUGAAUGGGGGGGGGAAGUAUGAAUGAAAUGGGUCGGCUAGAGUUCAUUGGACUGGGGAGGAACAAUGGGGUGGUAUGGGGGGAUAUGGGGUGGUUAUGGGGCAGCUAUGGGGUGGUUAUGGGAUUGUUAUGGGGUCACUAUGGGGCAGUUAUGGGGCAGUUAUGGGGCAGUUAUAGGGCAGUUAUGGGGCAGUUAUGGGGUUGAUCACCUGGUAAUGGUGCCUCAGUGUUGAGUUGUGGGUCUGGCCGGGGGUGAAGCUGAGAUAUGGGGUGGAGUCCUCCAGCCUAGGGGGGGAGAAAUGGGGGUCCUUAUAGGGUCCCCAUGGGGGUCCCCUAUAGGGUCACUGUGGGUCCCUAUGGGGUCGUUAUGGGUCUCUAUGGGGUCACUAUGGGUCUCUAUGUGUCCCUAUGGGGUCCCUAUGGGUCCCUAUGGGUCCCUGUGUGUCCCUCUGGGGUCCCUAUGGGUCCCUAUGGGUCCCUAUGGGUCCCUAUGUGUUUCUAUGUGUCCCUAUGGGUCCCUAUGUGUCCCUAUGGGUCCCUAUGUGUCUCUAUAGGUCCCUAAAUGUCCCCAUGGGUCCCUAUGUGUCCCUAUGGGGUCACUAUGUCUCUCUUUGUCUCUCUAUGUGUCCCUAUGGGUCCCUAUGAGUCUCUAUGGAGUCUCUAUGGGGUCACUAUGGGUCUCUAUGGGUCCCUAUGUGUCCCUAUGUGUCCCUAUAUGUUCCUAUGGGGUCACUAUGUAUCUCUAUGUGUCCCUAUGUCUCUCUAUGGGGUCUCUAUGGGUCUCUAUGGGUCUCUACGGGGUCUCUAUGGGUCUCUAUGGGGUCUCUAUGGGUCUCUAUGGGGUCUCUAUGGGCCUCUAUGGGUCUCUAUGGGUCUCUAUGGGUCUCUAUGGGUCCCUAUGGGGUCCCUAUGAGUCUCUAUGGAGUCUCUAUGGGGUCACUAUGGGUCUCUGUGGGUCCCUAUGUGUCCCUAUGUGUCCCUAUGGGGUCCCUAUGUGUCCCUAUAUGUCCCUAUAGGGUCUCUAUGUAUCUCUAUGGGUCCCUAUGUGUCCCUAUGUGUCCCUAUGGGGUCCCUAUGUGUUCCUAUGGGGUCUCUAUGUAUCCCUAUGUAUCUGUAUAUGUCCCUAUGUGUCCGUAUGUAUCUCUAUGGGGUCUCUAUGGGGUCUGUAUGGGGUCCCUAUAUUUCCCUAUGUCCCCCUAUGGGGUCCCUAUGGGGUCACUAUGUGUCUCUAUAUGUCCUUAUGUGUCCCUAUGUUUCCCUAUGUAUCUCUAUGUGUCCCUAUGUGUCCCUAUGGGUCUCUAUGUAUCCCUAUGGGGUCCCUAUAUGUCCCUAUGUGUCUCUAUAUGUCCCUAUGUGUCCCUAUGUGUCCCUAUGGAUCUCUAUGGGGUCCCUAUGUAUCUCUAUGUGUCCCCAUGUCCCCCUAUGGGGUCUCUAUGGGGUCCCUAUGAUGUGUCCCUAUAUGUCUCUCUAUGGUCCCUAUGUGUCCCUUGUGUCCCUAUGGGGUCCCUUGUCUCUAUGGGGUCUCUAUGUAUCUCUAUGUCCCCCUAUGCCCCCCUAUGGGGUCUCUAUGGGGUCCCUAUAGAUCCCUAUGUCCCCCCAUGUCCCCCUAUGUCCCUCUAUGUCUGUGCUCACCACGUGACCGCGGCUCCCACCCGGUACCGCACGGGGGCGCUCCAGAGCAGCGAGUUGUCGGACACCGUGAGACGGGAUUCAGUGGGGCUGGAACGGGGAGAAACGGGGGUUACGGCCCCAUAGGGACACAUAGGGACACAUAGAGACACAUAGAGACACAUAGGGACCCAUAGAGACACAUAGGGACACAUAGGGACCCAUAGAGACACAUAGAGACCCAUAGAGACACAUAGGGACCCAUAGGGACACAUAGGGACCCAUAGAGACCCAUAGAGACACAUAGAGACCCAUAGGGACACAUAGGGACCCAUAGGGACACAUAGGGACACAUAGAGACACAUAGAGACACAUAGGGACACAUAGGGACACAUAGGGACCCCAUAACCACCCCAUAUCCCCCAUAACCUCCCAUAUGACCCCAUAUCCCCCCAUAACCACCCCACA
rnacentral:lncRNA from 1 species